UGGGGAAUUUUACACAAUGGGGGAAACCCUGAUGUAGCGACACCGCGUGAACGAAGAAGCCUUUUGGGGUGUAAAGUUCUGUCGGCUGGAACGAAAAAAUGACGGUACCAGCAAAGGAAGCAUCGGCUAACUACGUGCCAGCAGCCGCGGUAAGACGUAGGAUGCAAGCGUUGUCCGGAUUUAUUGGGCGUAAAGAGUUCGUAGGCGGUUAUUUAAGUCUGAUGUUAAAUACUGUGGCCCAACCACAGAACUGCAUUGGAUACUGGAUGACUUGAAUGCGGUAGAGGCAAGUGGAAUUCCCAGUGUAGCGGUGAAAUGCGUAGAUAUUGGGAAGAACACCAGUGGCGUAAGCGACUUGCUGGCCCGUAACUGACGCUGAGGAACGAAAGCCAGGGGAGCGAAUGGGAUUAGAUACCCUCGUAGUCCCUGAGCGGGCUGGCAAGGCGCAU
rnacentral:rRNA from 1 species